GACGAACCACACAAACGUUAUUCGGAAUUACUGGGCCUAAAGGGUGCGUAGGCGGCGCGGUAAGUCGGGUGUGAAAUCUCGGAGCUUAACUCCGAAACUGCAUUCGAUACUGCCGUGCUUGAGGACUGGAGAGGAGACUGGAAUUUACGGUGUAGCGGUGAAAUGCGUAGAUAUCGUAAGGAAGACCAGUGGCGAAGGCGGGUCUCUGGACAGUUCCUGACGCUGAGGCACGAAGGUCAGGGGAGCAAACGGG
rnacentral:rRNA from 1 species